rnacentral:rRNA from 1 species
UUGGAGGGCAAGUCUGGUGCCAGCAGCCGCGGUAAUUCCAGCUCCAAUAGCGUAUAUUAAAGUUGUUGCAGUUAAAAAGCUCGUAGUUGAAUUUCGGGAUUGACGUGAUGGUCAUGCCUUAAGGGGUAUGAACUGUCACAGUUGAUUUCUCACCUUCUGGAGAAACUUGAUGUCCUUUAUUGGGUGUCUUGCGGAUCCAGGACCUUUACCUUGAAAAAAUUAGAGUGUUUAAAGCAGGCAUUUUUGCUCGAAUACAUUAGCAUGGAAUAAUAGAAUAGGACGGCAUGGUUCUAUUUUGUUGGUUUCUAGGAUCACCGUAAUGAUUAAUAGGGAUAGUUGGGGGCAUUAGUAUUCAAUUGUCAGAGGUGAAAUUCUUGGAUUUAUUGAAGACUAACUACUGCGAAAGCAUUAGCCAAGGAUGUUUUCAUUAAUCAAGAACGAAAGUUAGGGGAUCGAAGACGAUCAGAUACCGUCGUAGUCUUAACCAUAAACUAUGCCGACUAGGAAUCAGACGAUGUUAAUUUUUUAAUGACUCGUUUGGCACCUUACGGGAAACCAAAGUGUUUGGGUUC